rnacentral:other from 1 species
UUCUGCCUGCUUUGUUUGUCAAGCUGUUGUAGUCCAUGAGCCGAUAAUCUCAUCCCAGGGUAUUCUUGUUAAUUUCUGGUGUGCAUAUCCGUGCAUUUCUAGCCUAAUCGUUAGGACUGGAGCGGAGAGCCUAAAUUAAAUUACGGAAUUCCCACCUGAACCUUCGGGUUCUUGGGCGAAUGUAGCUAACGGCACGGUGGGCAGAAU